rnacentral:rRNA from 1 species
AUGUUUAGCUUCUCUUUUAGUGGAACAAGUGGUAACCUACUUGCUGCUGGUUCUGGUUCCAAGGUUCUGUUGUGGGACUGGAGAAGUUCAAAACAGGUAGCCUGCUUAGAGGAAUCCCACAUGGACUAUGUAACUCAGGUUCGAUUUGCACCAAAUCACGAGAGUAAACUCAUUUAUGUGGCAAUUGAUGGUUUAAUAUGCAUCUUCGACAUUGAUGGUGAUAUCAAUGAGGACGAUCAUUUGCUAUCUGUUAUGAAUGCGGAGACUUCUGUUUCCAAGGUGGGUUUCUAUGGAAACACAUAUCAGAAGCUUUGGUGUUUGACUCAUAUUGAAACACUAAGCACUUGGGACUGA